UUCCGUCCGUUAACUUUACCAAGUAGCGAAAUAAACAAAUAACGAGACAACCGUUGAUUUAAAGUGUUGUGACCAUGACAACCGUUGAUAUAAAGUGUUGUUACCAUGACAACCGUUUAGGACUUUCGUAGCUCUCAUAUAAGAGAAUGAAGGAUACGAGUUAAACAUUUCCCGCGUCUGAAGCUUGUUUACAUCUUAAUUAGUUGCACCUGGAGUGACUUGGUCAGGUCUUUAUUGAGCGAGCAGAUCCAGAGAGAAGAUCAACGAGAUGGCGAGCCUUCCAGCUGGACUUCCAGGAACCUGAAUCUCAUGUGGGUGUCCAAUCCUCCGUGGGAAACUGAAUGAGACACUUCGCAAGAGG